rnacentral:rRNA from 1 species
CAACCGGGAUUGCCUCAGUAACGGCGAGUGAAGCGGCAAGAGCUCAAAUUUGAAAUCUGGCCCCUCCGGGGUCCGAGUUGUAAUUUGCAGAGGAUGCUUCGGGUGCGGCCCCUGUCUAAGUGCCCUGGAACGGGCCGUCAGAGAGGGUGAGAAUCCCGUCUUGGGCAGGGUGCCCGUGCCCGUGUGAAGCUCCUUCGACGAGUCGAGUUGUUUGGGAAUGCAGCUCUAAAUGGGUGGUAAAUUUCAUCUAAAGCUAAAUACCGGCCGGAGACCGAUAGCGCACAAGUAGAGUGAUCGAAAGAUGAAAAGCACUUUGAAAAGAGAGUUAAACAGCACGUGAAAUUGUUGAAAGGGAAGCGCUUGCGACCAGACUCGGCCCCGGGGUUCAGCCAGCACUCGUGCUGGUGUACUUCCCCGGGGGCGGGCCAGCGUCGGUUUGGGCGGCCGGUCAAAGGCCCCAGGAAUGUGUCGCCCUCCGGGGCGUCUUAUAGCCUGGGGUGCAAUGCGGCCAGCCCGGACCGAGGAACGCGCUUCGGCACGGACGCUGGCGUAAUGGUCGCAAACGACCCGUCUUGAAACACGGACCAAGGAGUCUAACAUCUACGCGAGUGUUCGGGUGUCAAACCCGUACGCGCAGUGAAAGCGAACGGAGGUGGGAGCCCCGCAAGGGGCGCACCAUCGACCGAUCCUGAUGUCUUCGGAUGGAUUUGAGUAAGAGCGUAGCUGUGGGGACCCGAAAGAUGGUGAACUAUGCCUGAAUAGGGCGAAGCCAGAGGAAACUCUGGUGGAGGCUCGCAGCGGUUCUGACGUGCAAAUCGAUCGUCAAAUUUGGGUAUAGGGGCGAAAGACUAAUCGAACCAUCUGGUAGCUGGUUCCUGCCGAU